UGGGUAGGGGAGCUUCCCAUACGGGUUGAAGCAUGACCGUAAGGACAUGUGGACAGUAUGGGAGUGAGAAUGUUGGCAUGAGUAGCGAGAUGUGGGUGAGAAUCCCACAGGCCGUAAACCCAAGGUUUCCAGGGGAAGGUUCGUCCGCCCUGGGUUAGUCGGGACCUAAGCUGAGGCCGAAAGGCGUAGGUGAUGGACAACAGGUUGAUAUUCCUGUACUACCGAUAACCGUUUGAGAGAAGGGAUGACACAGUAGGAUAAGCUAAGCACACUGUUGGUUAUGUGUGCCCAAGCAUUGAGGCAGUCAAAGUAGGCAAAUCCGCUUUGAUAAUGCUGGGAUGUGAUGGGGAGCGAAAUUUAGUAGCGAA
rnacentral:rRNA from 1 species